UACGUAGGGACCGAGCGUUGUCCGGAUUCAUUGGGCGUAAAGAGCUCGUAGGCGGCCACUCAAGUCGAAUGUGAAACCUCGAGGCUUAACCUCGAGCCUGCAUUCGAUACUGGGCGGCUAGAGUCUGGUAGGGGGAUCUGGAAUUCCUGGUGUAGCGGUGGAAUGCGCAGAUAUCAGGAGGAACACCGGUGGCGAAGGCGGGAUCCUGGGCCAGUACUGACGCUGAGGAGCGAAAGCGUGGGAGCAAACAGG
rnacentral:rRNA from 1 species